rnacentral:misc_RNA from 1 species
GAUUGUCGUAAGCCUUGGCCGUUUGUUGGUUUCCUGUGUUGCAUACCGAUCACCUGGAAUUGUUCGUUUCAAACGUCCCUUGUUCAUCAUGCGAAGGCGCGUUAUGCGUGCAUGUCGUUGAUGAACCACGAAGCUCUCAUUGCGGUCCGCCUCGGCCAUGUUCAUUCAUGUGUUGUACUCGGCCCGUGAUGGUUUGCCUGUACUCAUGGAUGCGGAAACCUUUGAGGGUAUGGGGCAUUGUCCCCUCUCUACCCAAAAUUAAGCGUUCACCGCUAACUAGCGAACGACCGUCGUG